AUACCAUUAUUAUCAACCAGUUUUUACAGACUAGUUAAUUGAGGUUCCUGGCACUGGAGAUCUCAGGGCCAGGACUACAGUGAGGCAGGCGCAGGGCAGCAAUGACUCUCAGGUUCCUGCAAUGUGCCCGGCACUUGUAGGACUCACUGUCUCCUCCUAUUUUAAGCCCUAGAUGCCUCACUUGCCUCAACCAAGCCUUGGCCCUCCCAAGAUCUUCAAUUACCUCCCUAGGUUUAUCACCUUCCCUGCAGACUAGGGAAAAAUAAUUUUAAACGGGUUCUCUAAAUUUGGGAUUCAGUGGCCUGAAGUUAGUUUUCUUUCGCCACUUUUUAAAAACUAAAGAUCAUCCUGCUCAGUCUACCAAACACUGGUACCUGAUUAAAUGUAUCCCCAGGUCUCUGCUUUGCCUGGCAUGUUCUGUUUUCCUGAAUAGGUGACUUUGAAUUUGCUCCAGUCCUAGCAGAGUUUGAGAAGCAGCAAGUGUCCCGCGACUUACUAAAGAGAAUCUCAGGAGUCUUCCAGGAACUUUUUGGGAAUGAGGUGGCUCACGAGCGAGGGAGAAGCAGAAACUCCCAGGAACCUCUGUGGACUGGCCUUUAAGCCCGGCAACGGCGAAAACCUGGAUGGAGGAUCGCUGGGCCUGCGAGCGCGGAAAAUGAUGCCGCUUUUCCCAAACCUCCUUUCCGAGUCUUCGCCCGAUCCCGGGCCGAGCGCAAACUGAAAGUGGAAAGCGGCCGGACUGCCAGCCGCCAGCGAGCCUCCUACCCGGGACGAGACUUUUUGGAUGCCUUCUGGUUUGAAGAAAUCUCCAGCUGCUCUGAUGAUAGUUUAAGAAGACUGCAUGCUGUUUCCUCUCGAUGCCAAGCCAGGCCCUCUCGGAACCUCGGAUUCCAGCCCUUCAUGGAGACCAGGUCCCAGCAGGAAUGGCAGUGGAAGACAUCCGCACCCAGAUGGUUCCUUCACGUGAAGUUGUCUUGGGCUGUGGGCCGACUCGAGAACACCUGGUAGCCAGGCCGGCCCUCUGUCAGUCACCCAGGGCCGGGCAGCAUGGUGUGGAUUCAGAGGAGGAAGCUUUUGGCAUCUUGCCUCUGCAUCACAGCCUCUGUCUUUCUGCUUGUCACACUCCAGGUAGUGGUUGAGCUGGGGAAACUUGAAAGGAAGAAGUUUAAAAAUUCCAACGGGCAAGAUAGACAUGCAACGAUGGAGGAGGAGCCUACACACCUCUAUCCACUCCCUGGGAAAGAAGCCCUGAACUGGAAAAACAAAUCAGAAACUGAUAACUACCCCAUCAUGCUCUGGUGGUCCCCACUGACCGGGGAAACUGGAAGGCUAGGCCAGUGCGGAGCGGAUGCAUGUUUCUUCACCAUCAACCGGACCUACCUACAUCAUCACAUGACCAAAGCAUUCCUCUUCUAUGGCACUGACUUUAACAUAGAUAGCUUGCCUCUGCCUCGGAAGGCCCAUCACGACUGGGCCCUUUUUCACGAAGAGUCUCCGAAAAAUAAUUACAAGCUCUUUCACAAGCCAGUCAUCACCUUGUUCAACUACACUGCCACGUUCAGCCGACAUUCCCACUUGCCACUGACCACCCAGUACUUGGAGGGCGUAGAAGUCCUGAAGUCACUCAGAUACCUGGUCCCUUUGCGGUCCAAGAACAUCCUUCGGAGAAGACUUGCUCCACUGGUGUAUGUCCAGUCAGACUGUGACCCGCCAUCAGACAGGGACAGCUAUGUUCGAGAACUGAUGACUCACGUUGAGGUGGAUUCCUACGGUGAGUGUUUACGAAACAAGGAUCUCCCUCCGCAGCUAAAAAAUCCAGCUUCCAUGGAUGCUGAUGGCUUUUAUAGGAUCAUUGCACAGUAUAAGUUUAUCCUUGCCUUCGAGAAUGCGGUGUGUGACGACUACAUCACUGAGAAGUUCUGGAGACCUCUGAAACUGGGGGUGGUCCCUGUGUAUUAUGGGUCCCCCAGCAUUGCUGACUGGCUCCCAAGUAAUAGAAGUGCUAUUCUCGUGUCUGAAUUUGCUCACCCUAGAGAACUGGCAAGUUACAUCAGACAACUGGAUCACGACGACAGACUGUACGAGGCCUACAUAGAAUGGAAGCUGAAGGGUGAGGUCUCGAAUCAGCGACUUCUCACAGCACUCAAGGAACGGAAGUGGGGAGUACAAGACGUCCACCAGGACAACUACAUCGAUGCAUUUGAGUGCAUGGUGUGCAGCAAGGUGUGGGAUAAUAUCCGGCUUCAGGAGAAGGGCUUACCACCCAAAAGAUGGAAGGCAGAAGUUACCCACCUGAGCUGCCCGGAGCCCACAGUGUUUGCUUUCUCACCUCUGGCUCCACGUUGGAGCUCUUUGAGGGAGAUGUGGAUACCAAGCUUUGAACAGUCCAAGAAAGAAGCCCAGGCACUAAGGUGGCUGGUUGACAGGAAUAAAAAUUUUUCAGCUCAAGAGUUUUGGGCCCUCGUGUUCAAGGACUAAUUUCUACCAGUAUCACAGCGCUAUAGACUAGGGGGUUCUCUUGUGCUUUAUUUUCUAGGUUGCCUUAACACUCGAAUACAGUCGCUACUUUGUUGACUGUCCUUCAGGAUAAGAAUUAAUUGCUGUAGUUCUCAUAAUGAGCCCUCUCAGCUAAUGGAUAUGAAUUACCCUUAGGGGUCACCUCUGUAUUUUUUAUACUAAAAAAGUGAAUAUGUCGUAUGGACACUGGUCACCUUCAGUUUCCACGUCUGGACGGAUGUACCUGCUGCCUUUUGUGGACGUCCAGCUAAUGCGGAGUGAGUGCUUUCCUCGCCGCAAGCGAGGCGGAGGGUGGAGCUGUGGAUUCUUGACACUCACCUCACUGUCUGCGGUUUAUUGGUAUUUGGCAAGCCCGGUGUCCUGAUGCUAAGCAUGAACAUGAAAUGCAUUAGAACUUGGCAAUGAGAGAUUCCAUCUGUUGGUUUCCAGGGAUAGCAGAAUAAUAAUCAUAUGAUCCAAGCGGUACACCCUGUUCGUUUCCAUCAGCGUGAGAGUGGAAGUGAAUGCCCCCAGGAACCCCAGAUGUGUUGAAGGUGAUUUGUUUUUUCUUAGGAUGAUACAAUAGUGGGCAGCCCCACUGGUUUGUAAAUGUCCCUUGUCAUUUCUGAUCCCGUCACAGAGAAGGUUCAGCUCUCCUGGUGGGAUCAUCCACUAGAGCUCCAUGAAAGACCAGGAGAAAACACUGGCUCACAUUUUCUUCCCGUGUGAUGGUGGGGAGGCUUUUAGAGGAUACUAUAGCCCGUUGCCACCCAACGUGUCAUGGCUUUGGUGCUCUUUAUUGUGGAAAGGCCCAAGCCACAGAGGACAGUAAGAGUCCCUGACACUCAUGUCCCCAGUGUGGCACACGGGCAAAACUUAGGGUGGCUCCCAUGGUACCAGCUCCCCUUUAUCCCAAGCCAGUGCCUUUACAUGCCAGCCGUGAACAGGCUCUUCCAUACGUAGUGCUCUAAGUGCGGCCUGAACCAAUACAUUCUAAGAAAGGUCACAUUGCUAUUUGGGAGAAGGUGUCUAUGACUGGGUCCCUCUCCAUCCCAGCGCGGCCAUGAGCUGAAUAUGAUUUGGUACAAAUCUCUUCCCUCCUUGGGCCUUAGUUUUUGUCCCUAAAAAAGAAGCGAUUGGGCUGGUCACUGAAGUUCUUUUCUGUGUCACGUUCUUUGUUUAUCAAAAUGAAGGCGUUUAGAUUUGAAGAUGUUUUCACUAAGGCAGUAACAAACCAUUUGGAGCCUCUGCAUGGUUUUAAAGGGAAGAAUGCUCUUUGGAGGAAGAAGCAUCCUCUGUGGGUAGUGUUAAGGAUAGAAAGUAGUUUAUCUCUGCCAUCUUUUCUGAUAAUAUCCAAAGGGAAAGUCUUGGAAAGGGCAAUUGUUUGUUAAAGGACCAGAUUUUAAAUUGUAUAUUAAAUGAGUUUUGUUGUUGCUGUACUCUUCAAAGAAAGCCCAGGAUGUGAUUGGUGCCUCUGGGGAGUUAUUACCAGAGAGCUUCAGUUCUCCAUAAAUGCCUUCAACUAAUGCCCAGUGUUCAUAUGCUGCACGUAUGUUUUAAAGCUCAACAUUGCGUGUAGUUUUGUUCUAUCUUGUUUCUUCAUCAAGACUCCAUAGAUAAAAGUCUCCCUAAACUUUUCAGAAAUAUGUAGCCCUCAACAAAUUUAGCGAAAUGAAUAAUUGACCAUUUAGCAUGGUCUAAACAUUUUGCGGAGGAAGGGGUCUGAGGAGAGGGAACUCCAUGGGAUUGAAAGUGAGGUGUGUUUCGAAGAAAAUAAAUUAGGAGUUCUUUGGGACUCUUUGAAUACCCAUAGAUUUGAGACUUUAUUGUUGUUGUUUGUUUAGCAUAUGUGUCGUGCGUGAUAAUUGCUGUCGUGGAGUGAGAGGCGUGUCCCCACUGUAGCAGGAUUCUCAUCUGCAAGUGGGGAGCUGUGCGUUUUUGAGGUCCAUGCAGGCCCCCUCAGUACCAUUCUAUCUGUCGAUCCUAUCAGACCACACCCUUCUCUUUACCUGAGUGUCUCCAUUUUGAACUACGAUUAAGAAAGAGUCCUGUCUCACAGGGCUGCUGUGAAGGGCUCUGUGCAGUGCAGUAUUCUGUUCAGUGCAUCAAUACAUUUUGUUUGGUUUGUUCUCAAAGACUGUUUUUCAAAGUGAUAUGACAAGAUGGAUAGAAACCUUUUCAGAAACGUUGAAAAGAAGGCUUACCAAUGCAAGUCAAUAGUCUUCAGAAUCUUCGUGUGGAAAGGUAUCUUUGAUCUUUGAUCAUGUAGCAAAUAUAAAAUUUCAGAACCCGAACGCCGACUGGCUUAUUUGUUGCUGUUAAGGACUAGAUUCUGGUGACUAGAACAUCAGUUGAGAUUAUUACCGUUAUCAGUAACAGAUUGAACACACACAGUGUUCUAGGCACUACUCAGAAGUGAAAGACAAGCAAAAAUGAGCAUCAUUCCUUCUGAGUCACACGUUGUAUAUUACAUGUAGAACAAUCUAGUAUCUACAGAACACUACCUGAAUCCAAGCACAGUGCCGGCCUGAACUUGAGAUGCCCAGUGUAAUACUGUGCAUCUAAGAAAGUCAUUAGUGUGCUCAUAAUUCCUGCUAAAGAGGACAAGGCAUUAGGGGAAUCCGAUGUAGAGUUAAUUUUCAGUGAAUGAUGUUGAUUAUCUAAAGCAACAUGGGUACAGUUCUGCAUGAAUGACAUAUGUCUUCCUUGGAAUCAUCAAGAUACAGGUUGUGGAAGUUCACAGGCUGACAAUAAUGGUGGUUAGUUUAUGUUUCAAGUGGCUUUGCAAUCCUGAAUAUCCUAGGAAGAACUUUCUUACCCUUCUUUAGGGAAUUUCCUUUUUUUGUUUUCCCUUUUGUUGUUGUCAUUAGUGAUACUGCCUUUCCUGCAUAAUUCUAACAUCAACAUCUAUCUUUAUUUUCUUCCGAUUACAGAAAUUAAAAUGCCUGAAAAACUUGGGAUAUAGAAUUGCGAGCUGUGACUCUAGAAUAAGAAAACCGGUUUUAGUCCCCACUCUCCAGUACCCCAUCUGUAUUACCUUGGCCGAGUUAUUUGGCCUUCUGAGCUUCAGUUUGCUCACUGGGAAAGCUUAUUACAGGCCAGCCUCUCUGUGAGCUUGUUGCGAAGGAGGAGACAUUUCAUCUGUCAACCUUGGGUGAUUUCUGGCAAGAAUAAGAACUCUGACUUGGGGAUUAGCAAUGAAGACAGCAGGCCCACUGGGCAAGCAGGUCCACUCUGCCGAAACUGCAUCUGUUCACCGUAAGUAUAGAGGCUGGGGCCGGUCCGCAUUUGCUUUGUCAUGGUGCCUGGAAAAGUUUUAUCUUACAAGCUGUAUUCAGUCAUCGUGUGUACAGUUCACACACCAUUAAUAAGAAGACUCAUUUCACCACUGAAAUAAUAUUAUCUGUGAGUCUGAGAGAACACAGGUCACUUAGAUGAGCAUCUUCCAGUAGUGAAGUAGGAUCACAGAUGUCUUCUAUUUCCUGUUUUCAUGGCCUAAAAUCCCAGCCUCCGAAUGCUCCCACCUGGAGGUGAUGGAGCAGGAACAAUAAAAAGGAAAUCUGUGAUGUCCCCUCCUUA